GGACGAACGCUGGCGGCGUGCCUAACACAUGCAAGUCGAGCGAAUGAAGUUCCUUCGGGAACGGAUUUAGCGGCGGACGGGUGAGUAACACGUGGGCAACCUGCCUCAUAGAGGGGAAUAGCCUUCCGAAAGGGAGAUUAAUACCGCAUAAGAUUGUAGUACCGCAUGGUACAGCAAUUAAAGGAGCAAUCCGCUAUGAGAUGGGGCCCCGCGGCGCAUUAGCUAGUUGGUGAGGUAACGGCUCACCAAGGCGACGAUGCGUAGCCGACCUGAGAGGGUGAUCGGCCACAUUGGGACUGAGACACGGCCCAGACUCCUACGGGAGGCAGCAGUGGGGAAUAUUGCACAAUGGGGGAAACCCUGAUGCAGCAACGCCGCGUGAGUGAUGACGGCCUUCGGGUUGUAAAGCUCUGUCUUCAGGGACGAUAAUGACGGUACCUGAGGAGGAAGCCACGGCUAACUACGUG
rnacentral:rRNA from 1 species